AAGGACCCCUUGCUGCAUUAUAUUUCAGAGCAUUGGAGUUGUGACCUCAGAGAGACUCUCCUGGUGUUUAAACAUGCUGGGAUCCCACCUGUCCGGUACAGCUUUCACAGAUCUGCUUUCUGCUUCACCAGUCAUUAGGCAUUCCAUCCAACCCUGACAGUUGCAUCCGCUUCUAGAAGCACUCCAGAGAUCUGUGAAUUUGAUUACAAAUGCUAGAGACUGAUCAUUAAGCCAUUGUGUCCUCCUCGUGGCUCUCAGCCGGCUUCUUUGGGCUACAUGCACUUCCCCAUUCCUGGAUUUCUGCAGCCAGCCAGAGGCUCUGAGACAACAGAAUAAAAGAAAAGCCAUGUGAAAUAUCAAAUGGAGAGAAGGUUGUCUUGUAACUUCUAACAGG